GACGAACGCUGGCGGCGUGCCUAAUACAUGCAAGUCGAACGCAGUGGGGACGGGUGAGUAACACGUGGGUAACCUCCCAUCAGAGGGGAUAACACUUGGAAACAGGUGCUAAACCGAUACUGAUGGAUGGACCCGCGGUGCAUUAGCUAGUUGGUGAGGUAACGGCUCACAAAGGCCAAGAUGCAUAGCCGGCCGGAGAGGGUGAGCGGCCAAACUGGGACUGAGACCCGGCCCAGAAUCCGACGGGAGGAAGCAGUGGGGAAUCUUCGGCAAGGGAAGAAAGUCUGACCGAGAAACGCCGCGUGAUUGAAGAAGGUUUUCGGAUCGUAAAACUCUGUUGUUAGAGAAGCGGUAUCUAACCAGAAAGCCACGGCUAACUACGUGCCAGCAGCCGCGGUAAUAC
rnacentral:rRNA from 1 species